GGUGUUGCAGCUCAGUGGUAGAGCACUUGCCUAGCAUGUAUGAAGCACUGGGUUUGAUCCUCAGCACCA
rnacentral:tRNA from 1 species